GACAGAGGAUGCAAGCGUUAUCCGGAAUGAUUGGGCGUAAAGCGUCUGUAGGUGGCUUUUUAAGUUCGCCGUCAAAUCCCAGGGCUCAACCCUGGACAGGCGGUGGAAACUACCAAGCUGGAGUACGGUAGGGGCAGAGGGAAUUUCCGGUGGAGCGGUGAAAUGCGUAGAGAUGACAUAGAACACCUAUUGCGAAGGCAGCUUACUACGCAGAUAUUGACGCUCAUGCACGAAAGCGUGGGGAUCAAACAGG
rnacentral:rRNA from 1 species